ACGGAGGAUCCGAGCGUUAUCCGGAUUUAUUGGGUUUAAAGGGUGCGUAGGCGGACGUUUAAGUCAGCUGUGAAAGUUUGCGGCGCAACCGUAAAAUUGCAGUUGAUACUGGGCGCCUUGAGUAUAGUGGAGGUUAGUGGAAUUCGUGGUGUAGCGGUGAAAUGCUUAGAGCUCACGAAGAACUCCAAUUGCGAAGGCAGCUGACUGGCCUAUAACUGACGCUGAUGCACGAAAGUGUGGGUAUCAAACAG
rnacentral:rRNA from 1 species